rnacentral:lncRNA from 10 species
AACACUGGCACUCGAGGUAAGGGCUCCUCAAGACCAAAGUCAACAAUCUUCAAAUCUAACCUAAUCUAUACUUCCAUUUGAUAAAGGAAAAGUUGCAAAUAAACCAGGUGAUCUGGGGACUAUAUAUAAGGAGGCAUGACAAAAAAGGAUUGUUACAUUGUAACCAACUGAAUGUAACUUGCAGAUUUAUGUAUUUUGAGAGCCCUAAUAAUAAUAAUAAUAUGAACUGAAUAUUUAUUGUGCUUACUCUGCCAGACACCAGGCCAAGGGCUUUAUGUGCAUUAUGCUAUCAGGUGCUCAUGAGGGUCCCAUGAGCCCAAUCUUAACCACAAGUCGGUGCAGUGCUGUCUUCUUCAAAACAGCUUUCUCAGGAGACUGUACUUCCUCCAAUUGAAACAUUUUGAGAAUUUCUCUUUUACAGCUACUUUCAGAGUGUGUGGCACAAUUUUUGAAUAUCCUAAGUGAUAGCAAAUCAACAUUCUUUCAUUAUGACAAUAGUUAACAGUUACUAUCUACCAGGCACUUUAACAGGUGUAAAUUCAUUUAACCUUCACCAUGACACUAUAUGUUAGGAAAUGUUAUUAUCGUGCCCAAUUCCCAUUUGAGAAAAAUAAGGCGUAGAGGGCCUAAAUCCUCUGCCCCCAAAUUUAAAAUCUCUGAAGGAAGGGAUCUGGUCCUAUUCUGCCUUCAGGGCCUAGAAGAGUGCUUGGCAAAUACGGGUGCUCAGUAAUGCACUACAGAUCAGUCAGGGCCAUCUUGGAGCUGCCUCGCAUGAGCCAUAAUCCCUCUAGCACAGAUGCCUUGCAUGGUAUUCCCUCGGCCUGAGUCUCUCUCCAUGGCCCAUGGCUCUUGACUUUUUUUUUUUUUUUUGUACUUUAAGUUCUAGGGUACAUGUGCACAAUGUGUAGGUUUGUUACAUAGGUAUACAUGUGUCAUGGUGGUUUGCCGCACCCAUCAGCUCAUCAUUUACGUUAGGAAUUUCUCAUAACGCUAUCCCUCCCCAAGCUUCCCACCCCGCAAUGGGCCCUGGUGUGUGAUGUUCCCCUCCCUGUGUCCAUGUGUUCUCAUUGUUCAACUCCCACUUAUGAGUGAGAACAUGCAGUGUUUGGUUUUCUGUCCUUGUGAUAUUUUGCUAAGAAUGAUGGUUUCCAGCUUCAUCUUUGUCCCUGCAAAGGACAUGAACUCAUCAUUUUUUAUGACUGCAUGGUAUUCCAUGGUGUAUAUGUGCCAUAUUUUCUUUAUCCAGUCUAUUAUUGAUGGACAUUUGGGUUGGUUACAAGUCUUUGCUGUUGUGAAUAGUGCCACAACAAACAUAUGUGUGCAUGUGUCUCUAUAGUAGCAUGAUUUAAAAUCCUUUGGGUAUAUACCCAGUAAUGGGAUUGCUGGAUCUAAUGGUAUUUCUAGUUCUAGAUCCUUCAGGAAUCGCCACACUGUCUUCCACAAUGGGUGAACUAAUUUACACUCCCACCAACAGUGUAAGAGCAUUCCUAUUUCUCCACAUCCUCUCCAGCAUCUGUUGUUUGUGACUUUUUAGUGAUAACCAUUCUAACUGGCGUGAGAUGGUAUCUCAUUAUGGUUUUGAUUUGCAUUUCUCUAAUGACCAGUGAUGAUGAGCAUUUUUUCAUAUGUCUGUUGGCUCCAUAAAUGUCUUCUUUUGAGAAGCAUCUGUUAAUAUCCUUUGCCCGCUUUUUAA